GAACAAUUACUUUGUGCUGUAAACGUUGCUGGUGCUCUAGAUUUACACUUUUCCUUGGUUGUUGCUAUGGUUCUUGAUCAUUCACUUUUCUUCUAAUGAUACCCUUAGUGGAUUUGUUAAAAGUUGAGAGGUCCUUUUGGUUUUCUUACUGCUUAUUACCAAUGAGUUGAUACUUAUUGAUAGCAAAAACAGAGAAGGACAGAACUAACCCACACUUUUCAUUGAAACAAAAUAUUAUUUAAAUACAAAAUAAAAAUAACUGAUGAUAAAGAUCAUGGUCCAUGAUUCUACCCACAAUCAAAACAUGGAAACAUGCUUAACAAAAAAAGAAUAAAUAAAUUUCCUAAAACUUGGUUACAGACUUACAGGUUGUAGACCAAGUCAUUUAACAACCCACCUAAACAGAAAAAUAGGAACUACACAGCACGUUUAACAACUUUAGCAAAUCAGUAGUAUCUAAGACAAUUUCUAACACUCCUCCUUGUCUUUGAUGCUGCAAACUCCCAUUUUAUUUCUUGAAUCUUCAAAUUUAGCUUUAGGCAAAACUUUAGUAAAACCAUCAGCAACCACCUGGUCCUCAGUUCUACAAUAAACUAACAACACUUCUCCUUCUUUUUAAAUUUACCUCAGAAAGUAGAACUUAAUCUUGAAAUGCUUUGUCUUUCCAUGAAAUACUGGAUUAGAUGAGAUUGAUAUGGUUGCCUGAUUAUCAACAAAGAUUGGCGUUGGCUCUUGCUGUUCUUCAUUCAAAUCUUUGAGAAUUUUCCUAAGCCACAAAGCAUGGUUUGCAGCAGCAGCAACAAAUUCAGCCUACCUGCCCAAUCACUGUCAGAAAAACCAACUAACUUGAAAUUUUGACAGCAAGCAUACUUUACUCCAAAAUCAAUUGUUCCCUUUAUGUAUCUCACAACACGUUUUGCAGCUUGUAAAUAUUCCUCACUAGCACAAUGCAUAAAUCUAGAGAGGAGACUAACAACAUGCAUUAUGUCAAGUCUGGAGGCACUGAGGUACAUGAGACAGCCAAGUAAACUUCUAUAAUGAUUUCAUUCACUUUGACAGCACCAUCAUCUUUAUAGAAUUUUACUCUAGGCUGCAUAGGAGUGUCAACUGGCUUACACCCUUCCAUAUGAAACUCCUUUAGGAUCUCUUUUGCAUAUUUGCUUUGAUUGAUGAAGAUCUCAUUUUUCUUUUGUCUCACUUCCAAACUGAGAAAAUAAGACAUCAACCCAAGGUCUGUCGUUUCAAAUUCUUUGAACAUUUUAGCCUUAAAACAGUCAAUAAGCUCCUGUUUGCUUCCUGUAACAAGAAGAUCAUCAACAUAAAUAGAAACAAUGGUCAAAUCAGCACCAUUUUUCUUUAUAUAUAAAGUUGAUUCACUAAGACUUUUCACAAAGCCUAAGCUUAGCAAGUGAUCAUUCAUACGACUGUACCAAGCCCUUGGUGCUUGCUUAAGGCCAUACAAUGCCUUUUUAAGCAAAUACACUUUAUCUUCAUGCCCUUGCACAACAAAACCUUCUGGUUACUCGACAUAAAUUUCUUCCUCUAAAAGACCAUUCAAAAAUGCAGACUUGACAUCCAACUGAAAUACCUUCCAGCCUUUUUGAGCUGCCAUAGCCAACAAUAAUCUAAUAGUAUCAAGCCUUGCAACAGGAGCAAAAGUCUUUGAGAAGUCCACACCAAAGACUUGUGCAUAACCCUUCACAACAAGUCUUGCCUUAUGCUUAUUUAUUGAUCCAUCAGCAUUAAGCUUUGUUCGAAAGACCCAUUUCACCCCAAUAAUUUUUCUGUUUUGAGGUCUUUCAACAAGAUUCCAUGUUUGAUUUUUUUUCAAUCAUUUGCAUCUCUUCUUCCAUGGCAAGCUUCCAUUUUUGCUCCAUCAUUGCUUCAGCAACACUUGCAGGCUCUAAUAAUGCUACAUUGCAUCUUGCAUAAAUUUCAGAUAGCAACUGUAUACCACGAACUGGUUGUUCAUCAACAUCCUCAACAGUGGGCUGCUACAUACUCAAAUGUUGAAUAUUGUCACAUGCACUCCAAUUCAAUUGGUCCUCCUCCAUAAAAACAACAUCUCUACUUAUUAUGAUCUUCUCAUUUUAUGGCUGAAAUAUUCUAUAGGCCUUUGAGACACUGCUAUAGCCUAUGAAAAUUCCAGGCUCAGAUUUCUUGUCUAAUUUAUCUCUUUUAACCUGAGAAAUAUAAGAGAAACAAAAACAUCCAAACACUUUCAGAUUUGUGAGAGAGGGUUUGUGACCAUACCAUGCUUCGUAAGGAGUCUGUUUCUGGAGAGCUUUAGUAGGCAAUCUAUUCCGUAAAAAAACUGCAGUAUUAGCUGCUUCUGCCCAAAACUUUUUAGGAAGGUUUUUCUCAUGCAACAAGCAACAAGUCAUCUCCAUUAUAGUUCUAUUUUUCCGCUCACUUACUCCAUUUUGCUGGGGAGUAUAUGGAGUAGUUAAUUGAUGCUCGAUCCCUGCUUCUGCACAAAAUUUAUUGAACUGAUAUGAGGUAUGCUCUUUUCCAUUAUCAGAUCUUAACAUCAUCAUCUUACAUUUACUUUGUUUUUCAGCCCAUGUCUUGAAUCUCCAAAACACUCCAGCCACUUCUGAUUUGAAUCUAAGAAAAUAUAUCCAGCACAUUCGAGUUAAAUCAUCAAUAAAAGCAAUAUAAUACUUACUGCCUUUGAGUGAUGGUGUUUGAUAUGGCCCUCCAAGAUCAGUAUGAACAAGGUGAAGCUUUUGUGAGGCUCUCCAAGCUAUUUAGCAAAAGGCAAUCUGAUUUGUUUGCGAAAUUGACAAGCAUUGCAACUAGAUAUUUCCUUUUUAAGUGAAGCCAUGCCCUGUACCAACCCAUGUUUUUGCAUAAAUAAUAAAGCAGAAUGAUGAUAGUGACCCAACCUCUUGCGCCAAAGGUUAGUGGUUUUGACAGAGACUUGAUGAGCUGAAUACUCCUCCUCCAUCAGAUCAAGAGGGAAGCUUUUCCCCUUCAUUUUGAUUGUAAAUACCUCCAAUCCUUUUGCAUCUUUAAUAAUAUAGCUUAUGUUCUCAAAACACACCUUAAAACCUUUUUCAAGUAAUUGGCCAACACUUAAAAGAUUUUGAUCAAUAUCUAGAACGUAUAACACAUCAAUAAGGACUUUAGUUCUAGAAAUACUUUUAAUUGCAACUGAACCUUUACCUUUUGCAGAAAUAUAUUCUCCAUUUCCAACACGAACUUUUGAGGUUAAUGUCUUAUCAAGAACCUUAAAGAGUUCGAUAUUGUUGGACAUAUGAUUAGUGCCACCGCUGUCAACAAGCCAAGUAUCAGCCGAAGUAACAUAGCAAGAUGCCACAAAUAAUUGUUCUUCCUCCUCCUGAUUCAUAGCUUGAGCCUCAUUCACUACCUGAUUGCCUUUGUUUUUGCAAAUGUUGUCAAUAUGCCCCACCUGAUUGCAUGUGUUGUAUUUUGCAUCAGGUCUGCUCCAACAUCUAACAUGAGGAUUAUUGGUUCUGCCACAAUGUUGACAAGGGUGAUAAUUUCUUCCUUGGUUGCCUGCUGCACCAUUGUUGCUUGCUCCAAGAAAAGAAUUGCUUCCAACACCUGCACCUGGAUUGUCUUUGCUCUUCUUUCCCUUUUUUUUCUUAUUUUUCCAAGAGUCCUUAAGUUGCAACUUGGCUUGCAUUGCACCUUCAAUUGAACCAUCUUCUCUAAUCUGCCUUCUUUGCUCUUAUGCAUGAAGAGCAUUUAACAACUCAGCCAAGGAAAUUUCUGUAAAGUCAUGAACCUCCUCUAGUGCAGAAAUUUUAGCUUCAAAUCUUUCUGGUAAUGUUACCAGAAUCUUCUCAACAAUUCUGCUAUCUGGAAUUUUUUCACCAAGAAGUCUAAGCUUGUUGAUAAUAUCCAACAGCCUAUCAACAUACUCUUUUACAGUUUCAAAGUCUUUCAUCUUUUGUAGUUCAAGUUCCCUUAUGAGAUUCAAGAUACACAUGCUUUUGGUAUGCGCAUUACCUUGAAACUCUGUCUUGAGGUACUGCCAAAUGUGAAAGGCAGUCUCCAAGUUCAUAAUCCUGGUAAAAAGUGAUUCAGACACAGCCAAAUACAAACAUAUUUUGGCCUUAAACUUCUUUGUAGUUUUCAAGGUCUUCAACCACUGCUUCCCAAAGAUCCCAUACUUGUAGAUAAGCCGUCAUUUUAACUGCCCAUGAUUGAUAAUUUUCUCCCAUGAACACUGGAGGUGGGAUAGGACAAUAACCUUUUGAAGCCAUUUGAAUCAAGAUUUGAAACUUGGAGAGGGUUAGUAUUUCUGUAUAACACUCAACGGGAAAAAAAACUCACACUCAAACUAUCAUAGGUCCCUUAAGAUAAGGAGCUCUGAUACCAAUUGAUAGCAAAAACAGAGGACAGAACUGAACCCCACACUUUUCAUUUAAACAAAAUAUUAUUUAAAUACAAAAUAAAAAUAACUGAUGAUAAAGAUCAUGGUCCAUGAUUUUACCCACAAUCAAAACAUGGAAACAUGCUUAACAAAAAAAAAUAAUAAAUAAUAAAUUUCCUAAAACUUGGUUACAGACUUACAUGUUGUAGACCAAGUCAUUUAACAACCCACUUAAACAGAAAAAUAGGAACUACACAGCACGUUUAACAACUUUAGCAAAUCAGUAGCAUCUAAGACAAUUUCUAACACUUUUGAAGCAUGUUUGUGCUCAAGCCUAUGUCUCUCAAUUUAUAUCAACGCUUUACUGUGGUUCCCUUCCUUGAUAUGAAGUUUCUGGAAGUUACUCAUUUUGACCUUGCACUGCAAUAAAUUUAAGCAGAAUUGGACAGUAUAAUUUCUUUGACCAAAAAGAAGUAGAAUGAUCUGAAUUUCAUUGGUAUAAAGUUCUUAAUUUAUUUGCUUGAUGUAUGGUUAAAAUAGAUAAAGCAUUGAAGACGGUAAAGUGCAACGGAUGACCUGUAGUUAGCUUCUUUCUAAAGUCGUAAACUGGCAUAACUAUGCAAGGAUGUACUUAUUAUCCAUACGAUGAGAUGGUUUUCCAAUAUUACAUGUAUAUGCGGGUGUUAUGGUUAUUCACUGGAAGUAUAUGCUUCCCUUUCCUUUUUGGAUAUUGAAGAACAUGGAUGCACA
rnacentral:lncRNA from 1 species